rnacentral:rRNA from 1 species
GAUGAACGCUGGCGGCGUGCCUAAUACAUGCAAGUCGAGCGAACAGACGAGGAGCUUGCGCCUCUGACGUUAGCGGCGGACGGGUGAGUAACACGUGGAUAACCUACCUAUCAGACUGGGAUAACUUCGGGAAACCGGAGCUAAUACGGGAUAAUAUAUUGAACCGCAUGGUUCAAUAGUGAAAGACGGUUUUGCUGUCACUUAUAGAUGGAUCUGCGCCGCAUUAGCUGGUUGGUAAGGUAACGGCCUACCAAGGCUACGAUGCGUGGCCGACCUGAGAGGGUGAUCGGCCACACGGGAACUGAGACACGGUCCAGGCUCCUACGGGAGGCAGCAGUAGGGAAUCUUCCGCAAUGGGCGAAAGCCUGACGGAGCAACGCCGCGUGAGUGAUGAAGGUCUUCGGAGCGUAAAACUCUGUUAUUAGGGAAGAACAAAUGUGUAAGUAACUAUGCACGUCUUGACGGUACCUAAUCAGAAAGCCACGGCUAACUACGUG